rnacentral:rRNA from 1 species
CGGAGAGUUUGAUCCUGGCUCAGGAUGAACGCUGGCGGCGUGCCUAAUACAUGCAAGUCGAACGCUUUGUGGUUCAACUGAUUUGAAGAGCUUGCUCAGAUAUGAUGAUGGACAUUGCAAAGAGUGGCGAACGGGUGAGUAACACGUGGGAAACCUACCUCUUAGCAGGGGAUAACAUUUGGAAACAGAUGCUAAUACCGUAUAACAAUAGCAACCGCAUGGUUGCUACUUAAAAGAUGGUUCUGCUAUCACUAAGAGAUGGUCCCGCGGUGCAUUAGUUAGUUGGUGAGGUAAUGGCUCACCAAGACGAUGAUGCAUAGCCGAGUUGAGAGACUGAUCGGCCACAAUGAGACUGAGACACGGCCCAUACUCCUACGGGAGGCAGCAGUAGGGAAUCUUCCACAAUGGGCGAAAGCCUGAUGGAGCAACGCCGCGUGUGUGAUGAAGGGUUUCGGCUCGUAAAACACUGUUGUAAGAGAAGAAUGACAUUGAGAGUAACUGUUCAAUGUGUGACGGUAUCUUACCAGAAAGGAACGGCUAAAUACGUGCCAGCAGCCGCGGUAAUACGUAUGUUCCAAGCGUUAUCCGGAUUUAUUGGGCGUAAAGCGAGCGCAGACGGUUAUUUAAGUCUGAAGUGAAAGCCCUCAGCUCAACUGAGGAAUUGCUUUGGAAACUGGAUGACUUGAGUGCAGUAGAGGAAAGUGGAACUCCAUGUGUAGCGGUGAAAUGCGUAGAUAUAUGGAAGAACACCAGUGGCGAAGGCGGCUUUCUGGACUGUAACUGACGUUGAGGCUCGAAAGUGUGGGUAGCAAACAGGAUUAGAUACCCUGGUAGUCCACACCGUAAACGAUGAGUGCUAGGUG